rnacentral:tRNA from 2 species
UCCCCUUUAGCUCAGCUGGUUAGAGCAUUUGACUGUUAAUCAAAGGGUCCUUGGUUCGAGUCCAAGAAGGGGAGCAA